GUCCACGCCCUAAACGAUGAUCACUAGGUGUUGGGGAAGCGAUUCCUUGGUACCGUAGCUAACGCGUGAAGUGAUCCGCCUGGGGAGUACGGUCGCAAGAUUAAAACUCAAAGGAAUUGACGGGGACCCGCACAAGCGGUGGAUGAUGUGGAUUAAUUCGAUGCAACGCGAACAACCUUACCUAACCCUUGACAUGUCCGGAACCCUGCUGAGAGGUGGGGGUGCCCGAAAGGGAAUCGGAACACAGGUGCUGCAUGGCUGUCGU
rnacentral:rRNA from 1 species